AGAUUAAGAGGAAUGCCGAAAGUUG
rnacentral:piRNA from 1 species